rnacentral:rRNA from 1 species
GCUACGGGUGGCAGCAGUGGGGAAUAUUGGACAAUGGGGGGAACCCUGAUCCAGCGACGCCGCGUGAGUGAAGAAGUAUUUCGGUAUGUAAAGCUCUAUCAGCAGGGAAGAAAGAAAUGACGGUACCUGACUAAGAAGCACCGGCUAACUACGUGCCAGCAGCCGCGGGAAUACGUAGGGGGCAAGCGUUAUCCGGAUUUACUGGGUGUAAAGGGAGCGUAGACGGCGAUGCAAGUCUGAAGUGAAAGGCGGGGGCCCAACCCCCGGACUGCUUUGGAAACUGUAUGGCUGGAGGGCAGGAGAGGUAAGUGGAAUUCCUAGUGUAGCGGUGAAAUGCGUAGAUAUUAGGAGGAACACCAGUGGCGAAGGCAGCUUACUAAACUGUGACUGACAUUGAUGCUCGAAAGUGUGGGUAUCAAACAGGAUUAGAUACCCCAGUAGUC